GAUGAACGCUAGCGGCAGGCCUAAUACAUGCAAGUCGAGGGGCAGCACAGGUAGCAAUACUGGGUGGCGACCGGCAAACGGGUGCGGAACACGUACGCAACCUUCCUUUAAGUGGGGAAUAGCCCAGAGAAAUUUGGAUUAAUACCCCGUAAUAUCAUUGAGAGGCAUCUUUUGAUGAUUAAAGCUGAGGCGCUUAAAGA
rnacentral:rRNA from 1 species